CAAACGGCCCUCUUUAGGGCCACAAUAAUCAAAUGGACGAGAGCG
rfam:Globodera pallida, Lindley, WGS project CBXT01000000 data, contig: pathogens_Gpal_scaffold_387_contig_9